rnacentral:rRNA from 1 species
AGGCCUAACACAUGCAAGUCGAACGGUAACAGGAAGAAGCUUGCUGCUUUGCUGACGAGUGGCGGACGGGUGAGUAAUGUCUGGGAAACUGCCUGAUGGAGGGGGAUAACUACUGGAAACGGUAGCUAAUACCGCAUAACGUCGCAAGACCAAAGAGGGGGACCUUCGGGCCUCUUGCCAUCGGAUGUGCCCAGAUGGGAUUAGCUAGUAGGUGGGGUAACGGCUCACCUAGGCGACGAUCCCUAGCUGGUCUGAGAGGAUGACCAGCCACACUGGAACUGAGACACGGUCCAGACUCCUACGGGAGGCAGCAGUGGGGAAUAUUGCACAAUGGGCGCAAGCCUGAUGCAGCCAUGCCGCGUGUAUGAAGAAGGCCUUCGGGUUGUAAAGUACUUUCAGCGGGGAGGAAGGGAGUAAAGUUAAUACCUUUGCUCAUGACGUACCCGCAGAAGAAGCCCCG